GACAACCACGCUCCCUUCCUCAGAGGCAAGGACUACAGAAAACCGCAGGACUUAAACUAACGGAAAGCCUUUUUCAGUUUUAAAGCUGCUUGGUUGUUUCUGAAGGACGGUUACUGAACACCUGCACACUCCGAGACUGCGGCAGAGCUGACAAGCUCCCGCCAGAGCUGAUCCCGCGCAUCCCCAGUCAAGUGAGCUGGGCAGCACCAGCCCUUCAACACCGAUGGCAUGCGGGGCACUGGUACUAUAAGGGGUGGGUGUGGGGGGGCAUACUUACUUCAACACCCGAUGGCA
ensembl:antisense Gm15886 predicted gene 15886